UGGACUAGUGCUAUAAAAAGACUCCAUUCAGCCAGCAAUCUGUUCAUCUCAGGCUGGAGUUAAAGGUUGUCUUUCUACAGCAAAUGACCCAAACAUGGUAUUCACAGGAUUUUGGUGCUCCCUAUUGAAG
rnacentral:lncRNA from 12 species